AUUCCAGCUCCAAUAGCGUAUAUUAAAGUUGUUGCAGUUAAAAAGCUCGUAGUUGAACUUCGGAACCGGUCGAUUGGUCCGUCAUCUGGAUUGUGUACUGAUCGAUCUGUUCUUCUUCGCGAAGACCGCGUGUGCCCUUAACUGGGUGUGCACGGGAUUCACGACGUUUACUUUGAAAAAAUUAGAGUGUUCAAAGCAGGCAUUCGCUUGAAUAUCUCAGCAUGGAAUAAUAGAAUAGGACUUUGGUCUUAUUUUGUUGGUUUCCGAGACCGAAGUAAUGAUUAAUAGGGACAGUUGGGGGCAUUCGUAUUUCAUUGUCAGAGGUGAAAUUCUUGGAUUUAUGAAAGACGAACUUCUGCGAAAGCAUUUGCCAAGGAUGUUUUCAUUA
rnacentral:rRNA from 1 species